AUGCAUCUAUCUGACAUGCCUGUAGCAGGUACUGGCUACUGCUAAAGUUUCCACCACAGAUGUAAGAAAAAAAAAGGUCCUUAUGCUUUUUGUCUGUGAUUGUGGCAGCCAAGAUUGACUAGAGGUAUGCAGAG
ensembl:snoRNA